GAUCAUGGCUCAGGAUGAACGCUGGCGGCGUGCCUAACACAUGCAAGUCGAGCGAAGCGGUUUUAAGGAAGUUUUCGGAUGGAAUUAAAACUGACUGAGCGGCGGACGGGUGAGUAACGCGUGGGUAACCUGCCUCAUACAGGGUGGAUAACAGUUAAGAAAUGGCUGCUAAUACCGCAUAAGCACACAGCUUCGCAUGGAGCAGUGUAGAAAACUCCGGUGGUAUGAGAUCGGACCCG
rnacentral:rRNA from 1 species